rnacentral:rRNA from 1 species
UACGUAGGGUGCAAGCGUUGUCCGGAAUUAUUGGGCGUAAAGGGCUCGUAGGCGGUUUGUCGCGUCGGGAGUGAAAACCAGGUGCUUAACACCUGGCUUGCUUUCGAUACGGGCAGACUAGAGGUAUGCAGGGGAGAACGGAAUUCCUGGUGUAGCGGUGAAAUGCGCAGAUAUCAGGAGGAACACCGGUGGCGAAGGCGGUUCUCUGGGCAGUUGCUGACACUGAGGCGCGACAGCGUGGGGAGCAAACAGG